UGGGGAAUUGUUCGCAAUGGGCGAAAGCCUGACGACGCAAUGCCGCGUGGAGGAUGAAGAAUUUCGGUUCGUAAACUCCUUUCGACCGAGAUGAAUGUCCGCCGACCUAACACGUCGGCGGAGUGACAGUAUCGAGGGAAGAAGCCCCGGCUAACUCCGUGCCAGCAGCCGCGGUAAAACGUAGGAGACAAACGUUAUCCGGAGUUACUGGGCGUAAAGGGCGUGCAGGCGGUUUGGUAAGUCUGGCGUGAAAUCAUUCGGCUUAACCGGGUGAUGUCGUCGGAGACUGCCAGACUAGAGGGUGAUAGAGGCGUGUGGAAUUCCGGGUGUAGUGGUGAAAUGCGUAGAGAUCCGGAGGAACACCAGUGGCGAAGGCGACACGCUGGGUCACACCUGACGCUAAGACGCGACAGCAUGGGGAGCGAACGGGAUUAGAUACCCAAGUAGUCCCUGAGCGGGCUGGCAAGGCGCAU
rnacentral:rRNA from 1 species